rnacentral:rRNA from 1 species
AGAUAGGACAGAGGUGGAAGUGCAGUAAUGUAUGGAGCUGACUGUUACUAAUCGGUCGAGGGCAUAACCA